rnacentral:lncRNA from 1 species
AUGGUGUCACAGGUACCUUGGACAGACAAAGCCUGUUUGUACGGGUCAGCACUGGGGUGCAGACUAAUGCAGCUCUGUUGCAGCAGGUGGAUGCAGCACGGUCUGGGACUGCUGUUUCUCGUUACAUUUUUCCUGCAUUUUGCUGAGUUGGUGUUACCUCCCAUCCCCAGGCUGUCUUGCUGGGUGCAUCAGGACAAGCCUGCCCCAGAGGAAGAAGGCCAAUAUGGGAAGGACACAGUGAAUUUCCAGGACCACCAAUUUUGUAGCGCAGUGGUUGAAGACAAAGUACUUCCUCUCGCUAUCGUGGCUUUGUUCUUGUGUUAAUCCCUAGCUACUUCCUGACGCAUUUGCUCACCUCGUUUGUCACCUGGCCUCAUGGGCUUCCCAUGCUCAGUGAUGGUUCCCAACCCAGCAGGACCCAGAGGCUGGAGGUGUGGCUUCCUCCAGCACGCUGGAGGCAGAGGAAUGUUAUCAACAACAUCUUGUCACCAAGAAACCCAUCUCCCAGCACCAAAUAACACCUUACCAGCCACACAGUUGACCUCAGGGGUAGGCACUGCUCCCAGUGCAGGGCCAGGGUGUGCUGGGAGCCUGGUUUCUGUCAGGGAAAGCAGCAGAAGAACAAAUGCCUAGACUGAUUUUUAUUAUUUUUUCAUUUUUUUGCAAGCUGAGUGAAAGCCAUGAGCCCCCAGUCUGGCACUGUUCCCAGAAGUAUUAUUUUACAGGCAUGAUGCUUUUGAUAAUGGCAUCGCUUCUGGAGUAGCAUACAAGGGAUAAUUAUUGUUCCACAAGCAGAUGACAGUGUUGAUUUCUCUCCCUCAUAAUUCACUCAGGCUGCAGGUUGACUUGUUGAAAGGAGAUUUUUGGUUUCAGACAGCUCUGGGACUGGAAGGGUUAAGGCCAGAUUUGUUUUUAUUGAGACAAUGAAUAUGUGUAAUUCUUGAGAUGGCUCUUGCAGCCAGCAGUAGGCAGAGCUGCUGUGGCUUUGUCUGUUUUGGGAGACCUGAGUUUAACUUUGAGCCAAAUCCUGGGCAAGAAAUGAUGCUCUAGCCUUCUGUUCUGGCAGCAUUUCCUUCAGAGAGUGCCUUAUAAAAGGAUGUAUGUUAGCAGUGUGGGGUUUUUCAUAUACCAUGGUAAGUUUUUGCUGCUAGUGUCUACUCAAACCCUUCUGCUGGUAGUUUACCUUUCCAGUGAGAACACACUUUGUUCCGAAAGCUUGGUUUUCUCCUGAUGUUUACAGUGCACAACCUCAGCAAAGGUGCUAGAAUUGAGAUAAUGUGCAUCAGCUUUCCUUUCCUUAGCCGCUCAGUUGCCAUUUCAUUCU